AUAAACUAAGUAAGAUGGGAACCAACACUCUGAGGGCAGAGGACAGCUAAUGACUGAACAAAGGAUGCCUCCAGGCAAGAGACAAAACCUUUCCAAUGCUAAUUAGGGUGAUUAACUGAAACAUUAAUACUGGCUUCCCAGUGACAAAGGACUCUUGCCACACCCUGGACUCUACACAGAUAUAUAUUCUUUCCUUUCCUUACUUAGUUUAUCCAUACCUCACUACCUCUGAGGAUGCCUGUCAUAGAUGUGGGCGAAACGUCAGGAGAGAAUACUUCUGAAACAUGGCCACACAGCCCGAAAGACAUACAACAACCCUGUGAUCCCGGCCAUGAAAGCCUUCGACAACACAAAGCUUAGAUAGUUAAUUAUAUAGAUAGAUAGAUAGAUAGAUAGUUGACUGGAGUUACACUUUAAAUGCACCUGUUCCUACUUCCAUAACAACUCAACUUAAGAACAAACCUACAGAAUCUAUCUUGUUUGUAACCUGCUGAUUGUCUGUAAUAGGUGUCUCCUUAGGUCAGUGGUUCUCAACCUGUGGUUCCCCAGAUGUUUUGGCCUUCACCUCCUAGAAAUCCUAACAGCUGGUAAACUGGCUGGGAUUUCUGGGACUUAUAGUCCAAAACACCUGGGGACCCAGAGGUUGAGAACCACUGCCUUGGGUUAGAAUAAUAGCCUAGUAGAAAAGCCUUUUCUAUGGUUCUUUGUGCAGCUGACUAAAUGUACAAAACAAAACUCUUUUGGUUUCUAUAGAUUUGCUUCCCAACACCCAAACAAAAUAGCAACAGAAUACAUGAUUGCUGAAGAGAAGGCAACAGGAUAUCCAGGGAGCAGAAUAUGCAUUACAUCAUCCUAGAUGAAUACAGAGUGGUUCCUCACCAUUUGCUGCUAAGAUCUCUUUUAUUCUUUGGAUUAUCUAUCUUUGCUCUGGGAUCUCUCAGAUGCUUGUCAGCCUCACUUAAUUUUAGAUCUGUGUUUGUUUGUAAAGUUAAGGUUUGGGGUGUGGGUGCCCUUUCAACAGGAGUUAUUUCUUAAAUGUAGGUCAAUGCAGUAAAGAAGUUAAACAUGCAGACUUUGCUGACAUUAUAGCUUUGCUUUUCAAAAAGCACUUAAUGCUUCUCUUUUCUUUUUUAGGACACCAAUUUGCUGACUUUUGAUUGAUGCUGGGUGAUGUAUUUUUCUGACCAGCUCAUCAGAGACAUUACAAGUGAUGUAUGGAACUAUGUUUAUAUUUGGCAUUAAAUAUACCCUUAAAUAGGAUAUGUUGUAAUUUUACAUUGCAUUUUGAAGGAGCUUUCAGCACUAUCAGGCACUCCCAGGCUAGAAGCAGCUCAGCAGCACUGCAUUUUUAAUCAAAUAUAACUCUGAGGCCACUGCCACAAAAUUGCAACCAAAAUGUUUGGGUACUGUUAUGUAUCUAAGGAAACAAAUCUGAACUUCUAUAAUUAUCUUAUUCACUUGUUUGCAACAAUAGCCUUUCCAACAAGAAUUCCGGAAAAAAUACUGUAUUGCAUGUAUUUGUUCCUUUCUUUUUUAAAAAAUAUAUAGAUAAAAUUGCAUUCUUCCCUGAUUAAUGCAGAAGAUAGCUCACUCUUUCUUAUGAACAAAAUAUUGCUAUGAUUUUUCCAGAUUCCCUCUCAUGGAAGAAAGCAAUAUGCUGGCCUACCAGCCUCAUAUCGUUUUAACAGUGCAGCUAUUAGACAUUAAAUGAAGUCAAUUUGAGAUUAGACUCACUUCAAAGGAGGGCAUAUUUAGAUUAAAUGUAUUUAGGAGAGAGUAAAAGACUUCAGAUAAUCGUUUGAGGUUAAAUCCAAAUGAACCUUACUAAGGGCAAACCCACUAAAUGUGUUGGAGCUUGUUAGUUAAGGCGAACACAAAUCCCACUGAUUUAAAUGGGUUUACUCUAAGCAAUACUAGCACUGGAUUUAGCCCUAUGAGAAAUUUAUUAAAAUUGAAAAUAGCCGAGUUUAGCAAUAUAGCAAGUUAUUUGGGAAGAGUAGGCUUUUCUAGGUUUACCCUCAAUUGAAGUCUUCAGAUAACAACAACAACAACAACGACACUUCAUUAAUAUUCCGCCCUAUCUCCGCAAGGGAACUCAGGGCGGGUCACAGUAUACCUACAUGGCAAACAUUCAAUGCCUUUUGGACAGAUAGACAGAACAGACAGAAAGGAGGUAUGUUGUGUCGAGGUCCAGCUUCGGUGCCUUGGAGGUUGUGCUCAGAUUCAGCCACAGGAGAUGCUAUUGCUCCAUUCUCAAUGACAAAGAGCCAUUCUUCCUUCUUCCUUUUAGUCACUGGCAUUUCUGGUCUUUUUCUUUUUUUUAUGGUGUCGUAAAAUACCUCUCCCGCUUAAUUAGCGGUACCUAAUUUCUCUACUUACAGCUCUAAGCUGUUUUCGAACUGCAUAGAUAAACAGUGAGCUGGGCUUGACAGUCGGGUGUUCAUCCUGACCAGGCUUUCAGUUGGUAGAUCUUAUUACUGCUGGUGAUUUACCAGUUGUGCUAAAGCCCAGCCCAAAUAGCAAAUCCCAAUCCUAAAAAUACCCCUCCUGUUUCCUGGAAAUAAAACUGUGAUAAUAAAAUAAUAAACACCUUAUACUCUAGUCCUUUCAGGACACCCCAUAAAUACUAUCUUGAAAUUACCACUUCACUCUAUCUAAUGAAUAGCACUGGCAGAGUGUCCCCAUAGCAUCUUCAAAUCUAAUUUAUUGUAGUGUGUUCUUUCAUCAAGUUCAUCUGAUUUGUAAAAACACAUACAAUGAUGAAACCGCCAUAACUUUGGUCAUCAUGGCUGAAAGCAGCACUAGUAUUGGUUCAAUGAAGUUUCACUUUAUUUUCUAAGAAGAAUUUUUUGCAAUCUAUGUGAUCAGUUCAAAGAGAUGUACACGCUAAGUACCUCAAACCUUUCAGCCUCCUGGUGGAAGCCAGGAGUUCAUAUUUUAAAGUACCUGCUGAUAUCAGCAGAAUGGUGCUGAAGAUGUGCAAUCAGUUAUUGAUCAAGGCGAGAAUCAGAAGAGAUUAAGUUCUUUAUUUGUUAAGGGAGCCUAAUCUCAAUAUGAUUUCACUUAGCAUCAGGAGAUGCCUUUCUCUUCUGUUUUUGCUGACAUUUUUAAUUAUUAGUGAGUGACAUGUCUACAGUAAAGAUGCAUCCAGGCUAAGUGGUUUUCCUGACUGGACACAUUGUCAAUGCCCCACUCACCCUUACCUUCUGUAACCUUCAGACAGAUUAUAGGAAUUCUCCUUUACUGCUGGUCAUUGACCAAAAUUAUAUAUAAUAUGUAACAACAAAAAAAAUCUGUCCUUGAUUUGAAAGUGUUUAAUAGUGUGAUACUUACUUUGAAAGUAGUUAUAUUCCAGAAACUUUGUUUUUGUGGCUGCCACAAACUACUGCAUUUGUGAAGUAGGCAUUUAGAGGCUUCAUCCAGUUCGCCAGGCUAUAGUGUUGGAUAUUUGAUGACUGAUUGUUAUUGGUUGCUUUACAUUUGCUUGUGCACCAGCUGUGCCCAUACCUUGGGAAGCCGGACUUGGCCACGGUGGUCCACACUCUGGUUACAUCCUGCAUGGACUACUGCAGUGCUCUCUACGUGGGGUUGCCUUUGAAGAUGGCCCGGAAGCUUCAACUCCUGCAACGAGUGGCAGCCAGAUUAAUAACUGGAGCAGCAUACAGGGAGCGUACCACCCCCCUGCUAAGCCAGCUCCACUGGCUGCCAAUAUGCUACCGAGCCCAAUUCAAAGUGCUGGUUUUGACCUAUAAAGCCCUAAACGGUUCUGGUCCAAACUACUUGUCCAAACGUAUCUCCUCCCAUGAACCAACUAGGGUGUUAAGAUCAUCUGGAGAGGCCCUGCUCUCAGUCCCACCUGCCUCGCAGGCGUGGCUGGUGGGAACGAGGGACAGGGCCUUCUCGGUGGUGGCUCCCCAGCUGUGGAAUGUCCUCCCCAAUAAUGUUCAACAAGCUCCAACUCUCCUAGGCUUCAGGAAAGCUGUGAAGACAUGCUUAGAAACAAACAAAUUUUGGAAAGAAGUGCAUGAAGAAUCACAAAAAAAAAUUGGGAAAUUUUUUUCCGAUGAAGCCAGAAUUUUAUCUUCUAGGCCUAACAGAAAGUAUAAAAACCUUCAAUGAGAA